GUUGUGGAGUAUGACCAUGAGAGGGGGAAGAUAAACUCCCUGACAAAGGAUGAGUCAGACCCUAGAGCCCUCUCCUACAUCUACAAUCAUGAAGGCACCUACACUCUGUUCUACAUCAAGAUGGCCAAUUUGGCUGACCCUGUCCUUGAUGAUAUCAAAGAAGUCUGCCAAAGCCCAGUAACACAAGAGGACCAAGUCAUAAAGGUCAAUAAACCAGUAGAGGUGAGGAUAAACUACACUUACUGUUGUCCAAAGGCUUGUAUAGGCAAUUUCUUCUGCUAACCAUUUUAGGGAUGUCCUGGUAUAUAUACAUAUGUAGUCUCUAUAAUGGCCUGGGUGCCUUUUGAUAACAAUCCCUUGCUUCUCAAUUAUUAUGUGUCUCUAGAAUGCUGUCGCCUUACUGCUUCUUGAUGAGAAUAUAGCUUCUCCAAAGGUAAGGAGAGCGAGUAACUGCAGAAGGUCUCUUCCUAAUAUGGAACAAACCAAUGUUGUAGUUUUUGUAUGGUAAAACCAAGUUAGAUAGAUUGAGAAAUAAUAUUAUUGCAUACUCAAAUAUUCUAGCUACUGUACAUCAUCUCAAUUGCCAACAUGAGAUAUUUAAUGAGAUCAUCUUUGGACAUAAUGUUAGCUUCUCAUUUGAAGGGCCUGGAUGACUUGGAAAUGUUAAAUUCCAUGCCUAGCUCUCCGUCAGGGCAACCAAAGCAGGUAAUGGACACAUUUUAUGGUCUUUUAUCAACUUGUAACCAUUUCUAUGGUUUUAUAUGGUAGGCCUAGGCAAACCCACCAGUCAUUAACUUUCAGCAGGUGGCAGACUUGUUUUUUGUGAAUGUUACAUUGAGCAGCGAUGACAGAAUCCUGUCUACUUUUUGUGGUUUGUUUCCACAGAUCUCAUCCAGGGACGAGCUGAUGGACAUCUUCUCUUUCCCCAGUCAAAACUCUGACAUGAAUCAACCAGGAUCUCCACAGUCUCUGUCAGUUCCUCAGAUAUUUUCCACCUUCCCUGGUCAGCCGAUCACUGUUGCAUCAUUCAUCUCACCUCCUGUUUCAAUACCUUGGUGUCAGCAAGGGCCCCUCCCAACUCUCUCACCCAGCUCAAAUGGAUCCUGGGGGGCUCCGGCCCCCUGGCCUUCCCAGCCCAACAUGACUGGAUGGAUCCCGGGGCCGGGUGGCAUGAUGCCCUAUGGAGGCCCCCAGCUGCAGGGGUACGGAGUGAACCCACAGCCAGGGGUUAUGUGGGGACAGAACACAAUGCGCUUUCCCACCUCUGCCCCAAACUACACACCCUACAGGGCAGAGGGACUCCAGCAGCAGCCCGGCUCUCCUACCACCAACAACAAACCAGCCCAAGGAUGAACUGGCUUAGAGAGCCAAUGAAAUGUCCCUGUUGUCUUCAUGUCUGUAUGCUUGGCAUUGUCAGGGUCGGAUUACAGAACGGGCAUGCAGGGCACGACCUUCUAUGCCCCCUGAUGUUCCAGGGUCCCCAGAUAGCAUAUUAUACCAAAAUGUGUAGAAUUACAGAAAAGGUGCUUUAAAACUGCAACCUUUUCUCUCCGCCUCAUGGCAAAAUGUGAACAAUGGCAUGAGAUGAGCUGUAAAACAGAACAUUCUUCUCUCUGACCCAUGGCAAAAAGUGUAGAAUUGCAGGAAAUUAACUUUACAACUGCAAGAUUUUCUCAUAGCCUCAUAACACAAGGUAUAGAAUAGCAUUAUAAAACUACAAAUGUUUUAAGGAAGUUAGCAGUUUUCCUAUUAAAAAAAAUGUCUGGAUGCCCAAAAUGCAGUAGUCCGGCCCUGUGCGUUGUCUUUCAGUACUUAGUAGUGCCUUUUCCAUAUGUAUGUAUUCCGUAUUCCAUUCCGUAUGUAUGAAUCUGUUUACUAGGGUGCAGUUCUACAUUGCUUUUGAUAAUGUACAUUUGUGAAUUUGAGCUCAACAGCAAUUAUAUCUGUAGAUUGUUCAGUAGACUUUACUUUUUUUGACAGGAUCAUUUAGAUGAAGAAGUAAGACGAAAAUUCAAUUCAAAUGCUGUAGUUUUGGAGGGAUCUCACAGAGCUGAACUUGUUUACAAUUCUGAGAAUUCACAUGAAAGACAAAUUUGACAUUAUUUUCAAAUGUAUUUUCUCCAUCUAUGUAAACAAGAUAAAGUGGUUAUGUUUAUGUUCUAGAAAGUGAAUUCCAUGCAUGCUGUGGGUCUCAUGAUGGGAUUAGUGUUCAUAAAUCAUGUUUGUGUAGAUAUUUAAAUCAAGUAAUGAGGGUUGAAUAGAUUUGAGUAUCUCGUUUUUCAAGAGGGACAUACACUUUGUAAUGGUAAUCAUCAAAAGUCAUGGAAAUAAAUUGUGUCAUGGAUGUCAUAAUAAAAAUGCAUAUCUUACGGUAAUAUACUCUACAGAUUCAUCAUCUUAUGGUCUAAA
rnacentral:lncRNA from 1 species